GGGAUGUGGCUCCAGAAUCUGCCUUUUCAAGAGUGACUACUGGUUGGGAAGCUCCAAUGCAACCGACUCAUUGCUUUGAAGAUUACCGACGUGCACACAGUGAGAGUAAACCAGGAGACACGUGCCGUUCAGGGUUAAGAUCAGAACACAAUGUCAAUUAAAUCCACGUGGGUUCUGAAGAAGUCUUGGGAAGAUGAUCAUUGUCCCUGAAGAUGACCACUGAAGAUCAUUGCUCUCCAGCCUUGCCUCAUGAUUGGAAUCAGCUGGGGAACUCUGUAAAGCAGCUCGCUCCUGGCUUUGUCUCCUAGAACAGUGGUUCCCAGCUUCAUCCGCCCCCUGGGAUCACCUAGGGAACGUUUAGCAAUCCAGACAUACAGGCCACACUGCAGACUGAAUCAAAAUCUCUAGGACUCAGGUGUGAGUAUUUUUUUGAAGCUCCCCUGUGAUUUCAAUGUGCAGUCGAGGUUUGAGUGACUGUGCUGGAGACUGAUUCCAGAAGUCAGGGGUGGUGACCAAGAAUCAGUAUUUUUAGGACGAGCUCCAGAUGAUUCUUGUGAACACAAAGUUUGGAAGUUACUAAAUUUGAUAUAUAGGGAUCUAUUUCAAAUUAUUUAAAGAACCAUCUACAUUUGACUUCAUACUAAACGGUGCAAAAAGUUGUUCCCAGUGUUUUGGGGACCCAAGAGGAGACGAGCCAUGGGAGUGCCAGGUGCCUGACAACAAUUCCCGGCUGUGUGUUGGACUUGGAAAUGCUCAAAGAAAACUAGUGACACAGAAUCAUUACCUGCAAAGAGCUGAAAUGGUGAACUUGGAAGUAGGGUGUGGAGACCUACAGAGUCGAGCUGUCACUUUGGUGGCUUUCCCAUCAUAUGGGUCUCUCUAAUGUCUGAAAAAGAUCACACGACUUUUCCCAACGUUAUAAACCUUCUUCUGUGAUUUAUUUCUCAGUUUAUGGACUGGUU
rnacentral:lncRNA from 1 species